GGUCAGCUAGCGCAAUUGGUAAUGCGUUGGACCGGCAAUCUAAAGAUGUGGGUUCGAGUCCCACGUUGGCCA